rnacentral:misc_RNA from 1 species
UCUGGUUUGUCACCGGCGGUCUCCUUAGAGUUCCCACCAUUACGUGCUGGCAACUAAGGACAAGGGUUGCGCUCGUUGCGGGACUUAACCCAACAUCUCACGACACGAGCUGACGACAACCAUGCAGCACCUCUGCGGACUCCCUUGCGGGUCAGCCACUGUUUCCAACAGCUUACCAUCCGUAGUUCAAGCCCAGGUAAGGUUCUUCGCGUUGCGUCGAAUUAAACCACAUGUUCCACCGCUUGUGCGGGCCCCCGUCAAUUCCUUUGAGUUUUAACCUUGCGGCCGUACUCCCCAGGCGGUGGGCUUAACACGUUAUCUCCGACACCGAAGGGCAAGCCCCCCGACAUCUAGCCCACAUCGUUUAGGGCGUGGACUAC